rnacentral:rRNA from 1 species
CACCUACGGGGCGCAGCAGUAGGGAAUAUUGCUCAAUGGGGGAAACCCUGAAGCAGCAACGCCGCGUGGAGGAUGACGGUUUUCGGAUUGUAAACUCCUUUUGUUAGAGAAGAUAAUGACGGUAUCUAACGAAUAAGCACCGGCUAACUCCGUGCUAGCAGCCGCGGUAAUACGGAGGGUGCAAGCGUUACUCGGAAUCACUGGGCGUAAAUAGCGCGUAGGCGGGAUAGCAAGUCAGAUGUGAAAUCCUAUGUCUUAACCAUAGCACUGCCUUU